rnacentral:lncRNA from 1 species
UUCAGUCACUAUGCGGUCCAGCACCUGUUCAAAUUUCUCUGGAUUGGGAUGUUGUCGAAUCUGUUGAGUCCUUUUGUUAUUUUGAGUGCACUAUCGACUCAUCAGGUUUCUGCAGUAAGGACAUACUAUGCAGAAUUGGCAUCGCCAGUACCAUCAUGGGCUAACUUGAUUGUCUUUGGAGAAGCAAGGCUAGUCUUUUGGUAAACUUUGGUUUUAUCGCGCAUGAAAGAACAAGAACGCAUUCAAGCUUUCCACAUGCAGUGUCAGUGUUGUAUACUUGGAGUUUCAUGGUGCAGUUUCAUUUCCAAUGCAAUCAUCCAGGUAACAUUUUGUCUGAGAUCUGAGGGAGGUGACACACCCUUUUUGGUCAUGUUCGGCGUCUCCAAGCUCCUGCCCCUGCUCGUCUUGCCCUUGAUGCUGCCGUCCAGUUCCACCUUGGCCAACAACCUGCCACCUGGACUACGCCUCGUGGUCGUCCCCGGCUUCCCUGGCUUAAGCAGGUUGUGGAUGCUGUGUAGCUGUCACCAAUCCUUUGCUCUUGAUCAGGGAGGUUGGAGGUCACUACAACUCACUGAUGGUCAAGUGCAGCAGUAAGUAAGUACAUAAGUCAUCAACCACAAAUCUGCAUGUUUCUCCCAGUUGCCAGUGUGCUCUCCAACAGCAUCACUCUGCGUGCCAGUAUUAUUAAUAUUUUUCAGAUGUUCUCAACCACCAAUCGAAAUGUUGUCUCCCAGUUGCCAGUGUGGUCUCCAACAGCUUGACUCAGACUGUGCAUGUUAGUCUUGAAAAUUGUUCAGGUGAGUGAGAUUGUUUGAUUUUAGGGAUUUUUUCCAUUGUGUUCAGUUCAAGAGUGACUUGGAUAACAGGAAUUGAACCAUAUGCACCAGAUGCCAUGCACUUCUAUUACUGUUGCAAACAUGUAACCCUGAGAAAAGAUAAGAGUUUACAAAGUUGUUCUGAUCUGG